rnacentral:tRNA from 1 species
GCCCCCGUGGUCGAGCCUGGCAAAGACGCCCGACUGCAGAUCGGGAGGUCCCGGGUUCGAAUCCCGGCGGGGGCU